CCCAGUUCGGAUCGCAGGCUGCAACCCGCCUGCGUGAAGUCGGAAUCGCUAGUAAUCGCGGAUCAGCAUGCCGCGGUGAAUACGUUCCCGGGCCUUGUACACACCGCCCGUCACACCAUGAGAGUCGGGAACACCCGAAGCCCGUAGCCUAACAGCAAUGAGGGCGCGGUCGAAGGUGGGUUCGAUAAUUGGGGUGAAGUCGUAACAAGGUAUC
rnacentral:rRNA from 1 species